rnacentral:misc_RNA from 1 species
GUGAAUCAUCGAAUUUUUGAACGCAAAUUGCACUCUCCUCUGAGAGGAUGCCUGUUUGAGUGUCAGCCUAUAAAAAAUCGACAUCGUUGCUGUUUCUCGGUGUCGUUCUUAGGAAAUGGGGUCAUCUUAAAUCAUUUUGAUUUAAGCGACUUAAAAUUUUCUUUUGUUUCCAUGAAUGUUUCUAUUUUCUAUUUCUUUACACGUUUAAGGUAUCUAUUUUAACUAGACUUAACCAUCAUAUCGGAUCGCGUCCUUAUUCUUUCAUUAACUUACCUCAAAUAGGGAA